GUGGGAAGGAACUCUCUUCCAGGAGGGUAUAGCUGUAUAGCUGAAGAGAGCUCUUACAAGAGCUAGCAGUGAUAUAGCAGUUAAAGCUGUUCCCUACAACACGAGACGAGGCUGUGAGUUGAGGGUAAGAAGGUCUUGUUUAUUGAGCACAAAGGCAUUUCUUUUAUACACAUUUUCAGGUCAGAGGCACACCCCUUGGACCUGAUGGAACACAGGGACAAAAAGGUACACAAACCAAUAGGAACAAUAAUUAUCACAGUAACACUCCCACAUACAGUCAGCAAGCCCUCCCCUCUGCCUGUGAUACAAUUAACAAAGACAAUGGACUAACUCAAUUAACUUUAGCAGAAAAAACAUACAUUUUUACAAACCCCAAAAAGUACCCCAAAAUACAACAUAUCCAAAAAUCACCCAGAUCGGUUCAGGGGUUCAGGAAUUUUCUGGAAGUCUUAUUUUUGCCCCACCAUGCACAUGGUCCGGUGCUCAAAACAGUUUCAUACACUUGACGACAAAACACUGCUGGACAAUUUAUGAUGGCCACCGCCACAUGUUUUGAAUCUGUUCAAAAUCCCUUGUGGGUCACACUCAUUCCCUAAGUGUCUUUUCAGCCAUUCCUCCUAACACUGUGUGUGUUUGCCCAACAUUUCCCUCAGUACCGCCAGGCCAUCUCAUAUCCUCACCUACCAGGAUUGAGGCUCAACUGAGUUGUAUCACAUCAGUGAUGUACAUGCUCCGUUGCUUCAACUGACAUUGGAGCUCUGGACAGCAUGCACAAUAAUUGGGCAGGGAGGCAGGAUAUGAUAUUCAUUUCCCACUCAUUCUGCUCUCUGCAGUGGGAAACUGAGCUAAUUAUCAUGGAGAGUUGUUGCCUAGAGCCGAAUCAACCACACAGUAGUGAUUACGGAACUAUGAAUGGGUGCAUACUCAUUGGCUUUUUGAUUUGCUAAUAUUUUCUUUAUUUUUGUCUUGUUUUGCAGCUCUUAAGCCCAACAUCCUUCUGCUCCAAUAAAUAUAAUCCAAUAAGAAUGACUAGGUAACAGUUAAUAACUUGAGAUAAAAUCUUAAGAACACGAUUGUAUUCCCUUCCCUCAAGAAGCAUGACGUCAAUUUUUAUGACUUUCAUUAUAGUGGCAAUGGUUGCGCAACUCCUUUACUUCCUCGUGACCAUGGGAAAUUCCAAUUCAAUUCUCAGAAGUCAUAUCAUCUGCUUACAGUCACAAUCCCACUAAUUCAUCUUCUCGUCUAUAGGUUGGCUACCUUAUAAUAGUACUGGUUUAAGUAUGCCUGCAUUAACAUAAAAUAGUCAACAUAAAUGAAUCAUAAUAAAUGCAUAUUUAGAGCAAGUGAGAAACCUCAAAUUAAAAAAAUGUAAAACUUCAUAAAUCAGCACUCAAAUGGUUGUCUAAUGUUCCAAAAAUUAAAUUAAAUCUCUUGUGUGCUUUUUUUUUUUACAACAACAGAAUAUUCAAGGAUAUAAUGAUAUGUAUGUGAACAGGUUACUGAUCCAAUGAGAAAUCUGAUUUCCAUUAUGGUGUAAAUUUUGGGGGCAUAUUUGGAAAUGGCUACAAUUGGGAUUAGUUGCCUUCUUUUGGAUCAACAGCAUUAAAGAAAGGGUUUUAAUGCUGAAUUUGAUGGACUUUUUUCAACCUAGACUACUGUGUAACAAAUAACUAAAAAAACAAACCUAAUAAGGCAAAAAAUAUUAGCUUUCAUACCAAAAUAAAAAGAAUCCUAGUACUAAAUUUAAAAAAGAACCUACUAAAAAAAGUCUAAAAAAUAUGGAAAAAAUUAAAAACACAUAAUCAUAAUAAUAAAGCUCACAGAAAUCUAUAAAAAUGUAGGUUUUAAAUGAAAAUGUGACCCAAAAAGAAGGUAAUAGGAUACAGUGGCUAUACCUCUCUCAACAAAGGGAAAAGAGGGUGCCACGGCAUUAAACCUCCUGAAUGGAGGACGGUCGUCUAAUCUUUACUCUCAAAAAGGGGAUAACCCUCAAAAACUUAACACAAAAAAACAGAACAGAAUGAAUCCCAGGACGGUCCUCUAAAAGAGAGAGAUCGCACUGGGAGAGAGCACAGUAGAAUAGAAGAAUAGAAAAAAGCAACAAAGUAGAAACCUUAACUUUAAUGAAUCUAAGAUUAAAAUGGGGAUAGCCCAGUGGAACCCUAGAUCCAAAAAAACCCUUAUGAGAUAUAAAGUGGGAAUUAAAUUAAACGCUCGAUACGCAUUUUGUCGUCAGGGGCAGGGUCCCGAAACACACGGUGGGCGUUUCGUUUUAUUCCCACUUUUAUUUUUAUAUACACUUGGGUAGCACUAUGAGCACUUUAUGGUACAUAAGGUUUUUUAUUAUAGCUCUAGGGUUUGCUGGUUCAGUUAGGCACUAGCUUCGUGCGGGGCCGAGGUAACAAGGGACAGUGUUUAGUAUAUAUACUAUAUUGAGACAUCUUUAGACUUAUUUUUGCUUUACCUAGAUGUUAUGCACAGGUCUAUACUAUAUACUUUAUUCUCAAUAGAUUGUUAUAUAUACAGAGUCCAUGGGUAUUUCCUGACCUGGACCUCUCUCUGUCCAGGAGUAGAGUCUAAUAGAAAGGUUAAAUAAUCUAUGUAUCAGAUAUCCGAUUUAUGGUCUAUACCAGGCAUAGG